UACUUCAUUUGUUUUUAAGGGCCUUAAUUUUUAAUAUUUCAGUGUGUUCUGAAUGUGGUCAUGGGGAAAGCUCCUGAUAUUGGCGAUGCAUCAUGUGCAAGUCCUGAGGUUUUCUGCCCUUCGUCAAUUUUCUUCUCUGUUUUCUUUAUGAUAGCACGGCAUUGUCCUGGUCAGAGUAAUUGGAUAUCCAAACGACAUAAUGUUGAUAUUUCUUGCUUUAUACAUCUGCUUAAGGUAAGAAAAAUUACUUUCGCAGGAUCAACAGCUGUGGGAAAGAAGUUUAUGGCUGGUGCUGCUGGAACUGUUAAAAGGGUAGUCUCUGGAACUUGAUGGGAAUGCACCCUGCAUAGUAUUUGAUGAUGCAAACCUAGACGUGGCAGUUAAAGGAUCAGUCAAGUUAGAGUGGUUCCCUGUGCAUACUAAUACUAAUUGUGCUUGCAUCAAAGUUCCGUAAUAGUGGACAAACAUGUGUUUGUGCAAACAGAAUAAUCGGGCAAGAGGGUAUCAAACUACAGAACUAAAGCCAUUGCUUUCUCCCCUCUGAUUCCAAUUUUAUGCGUAAUAUGCAGCC